rnacentral:rRNA from 1 species
UACGUAGGGUGCAAGCGUUAAUCGGAAGUUACUGGGCGUAAAGCGUGCGCAGGCGGUGAUGUAAGGACAGUUGUGAAAUCCCCGGGCUCAACCUGGGAACUGCAUCUGUGACUGCAUCGCUGGAGUACGGUAGAGGGGAUGGAAUUCCGCGUGUAGCAGUGAAAUGCGUAGAUAUGCGGAGGAACACCGGAUGGCGAAGGCAAUCCCCUGGACCUGUACUGACGCUCAUGCACCGAAAGCGUGGGGAGCAAACAGG